rnacentral:lncRNA from 1 species
UGAUUACAGGAAAAAAAGCCAUUUUUUGUCCUUUUCCCUGUUAAUGUGUCGUUUUCCCUCUCUUUAGGUUCACAUAUUUUCCUUUGGUUCACAGAAUGCUUCUUACUCAAUAUUAUGUGAAUGUUUCUCAAGUUUUAUUGAAAAUUAAGUGACUUUUAUGUAAUAAUCGAAUUUCUAGGUUUGGGAGUCUAGAUCUCAUUAAACAGAUCAUUCCUGCCAUCCUUUGAAGUCCUUUUGUAGGCCAUUAGAUAGAUCAUCAAAUAAUCAAGUAUAAAGUAGAGAAGAAAAACAUCCUGUGGUAGUGAGCACUCUAUGGAGAAUUAAAAUAAUGAUACAAUACAUAGUGGCUUGUUAGCUAUCCUAGAUGAGGCAAAGAGGAAAGACUCUCUGAGAAGCUAAUAUUUUAUCUAUUGUUUGGGGGACAGGAAGGAUCCAGAUAUCCAAAGACAGAGGUACAGAUUGUCUUGGGAAAAGAGAAGAACAAUUGGAAAUAUCAAAAAGCAAGAACAAGAAAAAAAAAAAAAAGAAAACUGGCGUUCUCAGAUGACCAAAAGAAGGAAUGAGAGCUCAACAUAACUGCAGCAUUUGGUUAGAGAGUAUUAAUAUCUGGAUUUUGAAAGACAAUUUAAAGUAAAAGUGUUCCUGUCCAUGAAGAUUCACAUUGCAACUGCAGCCACAAGGGCACUCAUUACCUUUCUCACCUUGUGGAGGCUCGAGUGUGACAUCAUCGUGGUCGUGGUUCUUAGGGAAGUGGCAUUCAUUACCUCAAGAAAAAGAAGGAUAAGGUAAGAGAAAGCAAAAUAAUGAAAUCAUUUCAUUUAUUUUAAACUUCAAAAUAAUUCUUUGAUAUUUACUGCUGUGACAUAAGUUUAGCAGAAAAAUAUUUCAUCCAAAACUCAGCUAAGUCUUAAUAUAUUCUAUGAAUGAAGUUUAUUUAUACUUUUAAAAGAAUCCAUAACAGGUAAAAGACAAUCCCAACUCCAACUGUUCUAACAAAAAGACAGCAUGAGGUGGGUAGGAGGAGGGGUGAAAUAGACAAAGGGGAUUAAGAGUACACAUAUACUGAUGAACACUGAGUGAUAGAAUUGUUGAAAUAUUAUAUUGUACAUCUGAAACAUAACACUGUAUGUUAAUUAUACUUCAAUUAAAAAGUAAUCAAGACAAAUAAAAAAAGACAAAAAGAAAGCA